AACGAACGCUGGCGGCAGGCUUAACACAUGUAAGUCGAGCGCCCCGCAAGGGGAGCGGCAGACGGGUGAGUAACGCGUGGGAAUCUACCCAUCUCUACGGAAUAACGCAUGGAAACGUGUGCUAAUACCGUAUACGUCCUUCGGGAGAAAGAUUUAUCGGAGAUGGAUGAGCCCGCGUUGGAUUAGCUAGUUGGUGGGGUAAAGGCCUACCAAGGCGACGAUCCAUAGCUGGUCUGAGAGGAUGAUCAACCACACUGGGACUGAGACACGGCCCAGACUCCUACGGGAGGCAGCAGUGGGGAAUAUUGGACAAUGGGCGCAAGCCUGAUCCAGCCAUGCCGCGUGAGUGAUGAAGGCCCUAGGGUUGUAAAGCUCUUUCACCGGUGAAGAUAAUGACGGUAACCGGAGAAGAAGCCCCGGCUAACUUCGUGCCAACCGCCGCCGUAAGAC
rnacentral:rRNA from 1 species